CCCUAAUUACAACAUAUUCUCACCCAGUCUCUCUCUAUCUUUCCCCCAUAUACCGGCCGCAUAUCCCCCCUCCCCUCUCUUCUCACCAUUGUCCUCUCUUCUCUCGUCUCUCUGCCUAUUCUUCUCCUUCUAUGCGCACGGAGGUGCUUCUCCUCGGUGCACGGGCAGCUUCGACGACGUACAACAAAGGCGCUCGGCACACAAGCACCCCCAGUUUCUCCUCUAUCACAAACGAUCUUGUGCUAGGCAGAGGUUUCGUCCGUAGGUCUUGGUGGAGACGGGGGUGCUCGAUAGAGAUGUCGUCUGUGGGUUUCAACAGUGUGGUGGUGGGCGUGGGGUUCAAAGGAGUUGGGGAGUGAUGUUGCACACUAAGUUCAUGAUGUCAAAUUUCCACAAGAACUUUUGUUUUUGAGAUCUUUUGUGAAGUUGUACUAUUUCUUUUUUAUACUUGUACACACUUUUAUUUUAGGGGAUACGUUCAUUAUCUUUUACUCAUGAUAUAUGAUUAAGUAUUCAAUGUUUACACAAUUUGUCUUUUAAUAUAAGUGGCCGAGUUUAAAGAUUA